UGUUGAGGUGCUCGUUAGCGGUAAUUAGCAACAGCUGAGGCUGCAGGUGAGUCUCAGGAAGUGAGACUCUGGGUAGAGAGUCUCUGAAGGUUCUGCAGGUGAGACUCUGAGUUUAUAGGAUUAAAACAGAGAGCGCGCAGAUUUGUGGAAGACACUGUUAUGAGAGAACUUUUGGUCAUAAAUACACGAUGGAAUUCAAAGCAUGGGAUGUUCACCUGGAGAUGAGGCCUGCCGGUGCGGCGUGUCAUGGAGAGAACACACAGCUGGCUGUGGACCUGCGGUGAAUACCUCGCACCUAAACCCCUAGAUAGAGAGAAGCUUUAAGGAAUGGACGCACGGCAGAGGAAUCGACAACUCUUCACUUAGUAACCCUGAGAACAAUUGGGACAUUGAGACGCUGUCAACAUCCGCAGCCUCGUCAUGGAGGUCACGAUAAUCACGCCUAUGCCAUUGCCACUGGCAAAUUAUUUAAAUAUGAGGGUGUUAAUACAUAUUUUAGCGUUUCUGUCUCAAAAUUAAAACUUUUAGCUCACGCUAUUUGUUGUAUUUCUGGAGACACAAAUGACUAAUGCCUGGAACACUUUUGCUUAACAUCAGAUUAAUUUGUAAUGCAGAUUUUACCUUAUUACUCAAGUAAAUAGUACUUUAUUUUUGCUAUCUUGUUAACUCUUCUGUUAUGAGCAAGGGUUAGGGGGUUUAACCUCAUUCUAGAUGUUGAUGAACUGUUGAGCAUUAGUUCAGAGUGUGAUGCUGAGAAUCUUACCUUUGCUGUUAGGGUUAGGGUUAUCUCUAGUACUACCACAUCAUAGCCGUGCGGUUACUCAAAGUUAAUCAACACCCCUCCAGGCAAUCCCAAUCCAAAGAAUGAAUAUUAAAGUAUAAACCCAUGAUUAUUUAUAUCUAUCCAUGACACUCCACCAUAUGUUCUGCUGCUGCACCUCUUGACUAUAAAGGCAUGUCCCUUCUGGCUCCCUCAGGAAUUCAGCUCCACUUUAAUCAGGGCAGCGUCCCUCCCGCAGGCAGGGUAUGUAAUUAAUGGACUGGAGAAGGCUCACCCUGGGGCGCUUCUAUUGUUGUUGGGGACUCCAAUAUGGGCUAAUAGAAGGAAAGUUUGUCCUAAAGAACACCAGCACCAUUACUUUUCUACCUGUGGUGGAAAAGUUAUUGGACUACGGACCUUUUUGUGAUUCUCAUCCACGGGACAGAAUGUAAACCCCUCCCCCAGCCGGCCUUAGGUUAAGCGGAUCAAUCCACUCCAUUCUUCUCCCUCCAACGUCUUAAACUGGAAAAAACAACAAGGGUUCGUUGGGUGGUUCAAGGCUGGAGUGGGGAAUCCUUUGCCACUCUCCAGGACUGCCUGUCUCAGCCUCUCCCAGUGCAUUGAUGAUGUCGUCCCAAAUGGGACCCUGGGGAAAUUGAGGACUUUCAGAUAUGUCCUACAGAAAAGCCAUCAGAGAUGCCAAAAUAACCUACAGGGAGUCUCGUUGGAGCACAAAGAAAGAGAAAUCACAGUGGUGGCCAGCUCGCCGCAUUUGUUACGGAAGGGCCUCACGCACCUUCAUGCACUGUUUGAGGCAAGCAAGACCAUCCCUUCUGCGAGGCCAGCUGAGAACCAGGACGACUGCACUCUGUCCCUCACUAUGGCUGACCUGAGGAGCGCUUAUAAAAGGGUAAACCCUCGAAAGUAUCCUGGGCCAGAUGGUGUUCCAGGGAUCUCCUGGGAGCCUGGAUCCUGCACUUCCUGACGGCCAGACCCGUGGCGGUGAGAAUGGGAAACUUCACUAUCUCUGCACUGGGAGGAGAUCAGCGUCUUGGCAACAUGGUGCGAGGAAAACAACCCUAACGUAUGCAGGACUAAAGAGAGGAUUGUGUACUUCAGGAAGCAGCAGGGGCGUGUUACUGGAGCAUCCGGGCACAGAUUAGCAGACAAAAGAAAAUUGUUCCCCCCACCCAAUCAGGCUUCUCAACAAGCCAGUUUUAGGUUAGUGAUCAAAUUGAUCAAAGAAAUUAUUUAAUUGUUUUUAAUAAUAAAAAUAUAGCUUUUUUUCCUUUCUAUGAAUCUAUUUGCAAUGUUGCCGUUGUUGUCUUUUUAAAAUAAAUUGUAAUAUGUUUGUGAGUAGAUAUUAAUAGUAUACUGCC
ensembl:lncRNA